rnacentral:rRNA from 1 species
UACGUAGGUGGCAAGCGUUGUCCGGAUUUACUGGGUGUAAAGGGUGCGUAGGCGGGCCUGCAAGUCAGAUGUGAAAGCUCCCGGCUUAACCGGGAAAUUGCAUUUGAAACUGCGGGUCUUGAGUGCAGGAGAGGUAAGCGGAAUUCCCAGUGUAGCGGUAAAAUGCGUAGAAAUUGGGAGGAACACCAGUGGCGAAGGCGGCUUACUGGACUGCAACUGACGCUGAUGCACGAAAGCGUGGGGAUCAAACAGGAUUAGAUACCCUGGUAGUCCACGCUGUAAACGAUGGAUACUAGGUGUGGGGGGUAUCGACCCCUCCCGUGCCGGAGUUAACACAAUAAGUAUCCCACCUGGGGAGUACGGCCGCAAGGUUGAA